GACGAACGCUGGCGGCGUGCCUAAUACAUGCAAGUCGAGCGCAGGAAGCCGACGGAACCCUUCGGGGGGAAGUCGACGGAAUGAGCGGCGGACGGGUGAGUAACACGUAAAGAACCUGCCCUCAGGUCUGGGAUAACCACGAGAAAUCGGGGCUAACACCGGAUGGGUCAUCGGACCGCAUGGUCCGAGGAUGAAAGGCGCUCCGGCGUCGCCUGGGGAUGGCUUUGCGGUGCAUUAGCUAGUUGGUGGGGUAAUGGCCCACCAAGGCGACGAUGCAUAGCCGACCUGAGAGGGUGAGCGGCCACACUGGGACUGAGACACGGCCCAGACGCCUACGGGAGGCAGCAGUAGGGAAUCUUCCACAAUGGACGAAAGUCUGAUGGAGCAACGCCGCGUGAACGAUGAAGGCCUUCGGGUCGUAAAGUUCUGUUGUAAGGGAAGAACAAGUGCCGCAGGCAAUGGCGGCACCUUGACGGUACCUUGCGAGAAAGCCACGGCUAACUACGUGCCAGCAGCCGCAGUAAAAC
rnacentral:rRNA from 1 species